CCAGGAUGUUGGCUUAGAAGCAGCCAUCAUUUAAAGAAAGCGUAAUAGCUCACUGGUCGAGUCGGCCUGCGCGGAAGAUGUAACGGGGCUAAACCAUGCACCGAAGCUGCGGCAGCGAACGUAUCACCCAAGACAACUUUACGGAGUUGACGAUUGACGGAGCGAAGCGACGUCAAAGCGUUCAUUAAAGUCGAGUUGGCUUAGGGAUACGUUCGUUGGGUAGGGGAGCGUUCUGUAAGCCUGUGAAGGUGUGUCGUGAGGCAUGCUGGAGGUAUCAGAAGUGCGAAUGCUGACAUAAGUAACGAUAAAGCGGGUGAAAAGCCCGCUCGCC
rnacentral:rRNA from 3 species